GAUGAACGCUAGCGGGAGGCCUAACACAUGCAAGCCGAGCGGUAGAGUCUCUUCGGAGACUUGAGAGCGGCGCACGGGUGCGGAACACGUGUGCAACCUGCCUUUAUCUGGGGGAUAGCCUUUCGAAGGGAAGAUUAAUACCCCAUAAUAUACUGGAUGGCAUCAUCUGGUAUUGAAAACUCCGGUGGAUAGAGAUGGGCACGCGCAAGAUUAGAUAGUUGGUGAGGUAACGGCUCACCAAGUCAGCGAUCUUUAGGGGGCCUGAGAGGGUGAUCCCCCACACUGGUACGGAGACACGGACCAGACUCCUACGGGAGGCAGCAGUGAGGAAUAGUGGACAAUGGGUGAGAGCCUGAUCCAGCCAUCCCGCGUGAAGGACGACGGCCCUAUGGGUUGUAAACUUCUUUUGUAUAGGGAUAAACCUAGAUACGUGUAUCUAGCUGAAGGUACUAUACGAAUAAGCACCGGCUAACUCCGUG
rnacentral:rRNA from 1 species